ACGGUGCCGAAAGCAAAGAAGGAAGCUCCUGCUCCUCCUAAAGCCGAAGCCAAAGCAAAGGCUUUGAAGGCCAAGAAGGCAGUGUUGAAAGGUGUCCACAGCCACAAAAAAAAGAAGAUCCGCACGUCACCUACCUUCCAGCGGCCCAAGACACUGCGAUUCUGGAGGCAGCCCAAGUACCCUCAGAAGACCAACCCCGGAGAACAAGCUUGACCACUAUGCUAUCAUCAAGUUUCCACUGACCACUGAGUCUGCCAUGAAGAAGAUAGAAGACAACAACACACUUGUGUUCACUGUGGAUGUUAAAGCCAACAAGCACCAGAUCAAAUAGGCUGUGAAGAAGCUCUAUGACACUGAUGUGACCAAGGUCAACACCCUGAUUCAGCGUGAUGGAGAGAAGAAGGCAUAUGUUGGACUGGCUCCUGAUUACGAUGCUUUGGAUGUUGCCAACAAAAUUGGGAUCAUUUAA
rnacentral:lncRNA from 1 species